rfam:Danio rerio chromosome 4, GRCz11 reference primary assembly.
GCAUUGGUGGUUCAGUGGUAGAAUUCUCGCCUCCCACCCGGGAGACCCGGGUCCGAUUCCCGGCCAAUGCA